rnacentral:tRNA from 1 species
UCUGGCUCAGGGGUAGAGCAUGUGCUUGGCGUGCAGAAGGCCAGAGGUUCAAUUCUCCUUUUGUUCAGAUAAA